rnacentral:rRNA from 1 species
GCAACUCGACUGCAUGAAGUCGGAAUCGCUAGUAAUCGCGGAUCAGCAUGCCGCGGUGAAUACGUUCCCGGGCCUUGUACACACCGCCCGUCACACCAUGAGAGUCGGGAACACCCGAAGUCCAUAGCCUAACCGCAAGGGGGGCGCGGCCGAAGGUGGGUUCGAUAAUUGGGGUGAAGUCGUAACAAGGUAAC